rnacentral:rRNA from 1 species
AUUUGAAGAGGCGUUUUCUGUGUUUCUGAUCAGUCCAAGUCCUUUGGGAUAAGGCAUCAUGGAGGGUGAGAAUCCCGUCCGGUUGAUCAGAUUCGCUUUACGAUACGCUUUCUAAGAGUCAAGUUGUUUGGGAUUGCAGCUUAAAAUGGGAGGUAAAUUUCUCCUAAGGCUAAAUAACGGCGAGAGACCGAUAGCGAACAAGUACCGUGAGGGAAAGAUGAAAAGAACUUUGAAAAGAGAGUUAAAUAGUACGUGAAAUUGUUGAAAGGGAAACGAUUGAAGCCAGUCGUACCUAUGGGUAAUCAGCCUUUUGGGUGUGGUUUUGUGGAGCGUGAGGAGUUAAACGCCUUCAUGCCUGCAUAUUCGUGCACUUUGGGUGUACUUGCCCGUAUGGUUGGUUAACAUCAAUUUUGGUGGUCAUAAAAUGACUGGAGGAAUGUAGCUUCGAUCUCGUAUUGAAGUGUUAUAGCCUUCGGUAGAUGUGAUGAUCGAGAUUGAGGAUUGCAACGGAUACCCUUCGGGGCUACCUGUCUGAUCUCUGAUCGUUGCUCUGGUGCCGAAAGCUUGCUUACGGUUAUCAAAGUCGAUGGUCAAUAGGUUAGAACGGGUUAAAUUCGUUAAGGAUGUUGACGUAAUGGCUUUAAACGACCCGUCUUGAAACACGGACCAAGGAGUCUAACAUAUAUGUCGAGUGUU